GGAGGGUAAAUUAGCUCCCUGUCAUCACAACACAGGAGUUCCACAGACGGAGAAGAGACACAGAGUGAAGAAGGAGGAGAGGACAAAAGAUCUGCACGUAUGUGGCUGAUACAGCAGUGACAUGAUCAGCCUCCCAUCACAUCAAAUCCUGGACAGUUUGUGACACAGAGAACUAGGUGUUUUGCUUUUGGUGACUGUGUUGCCAAAGGAUUUCAAAAGGAACUGAGCAGCAGGGGUCCAGAGGAGGACAAAAACAAUAUUUUAUCCCCCUUUUGUGCGGUUACGGGUUAUUUGGUGCUGGAAUUUCGGGCAGGAAUCACAGGCUUCAAAGUAUGGAUGGAUUUAAGACAGAGGAGUAAGUCUGCUGGGCAGACAGGCAAGGCAGUGCUUCUGACUGAGCUCCUUUCCUCCUGAACACACUGCUCAGACUCGGCCUUACCAUGUCCUGGUUGUUGGCCAUGUGGAUUAGCCUCGGCUUCCUGCUGCUGUGCCAGGCCACACUCUACCAGACCAUCCAGCAGCACCACGUGGCCCGGCCCGGUCGCACCGACAUCCUCACCCUUGAGGGAGGGACGUGUGAGGUGAUCGCUGCCCACCGAUGCUGUAACAAGAAUCGUAUUGAGGAGCGUUCUCAGACAGUCAAGUGCUCCUGUUUACCGGGGAAAGUGGCCGGGACGACACGCAACAAACCCUCCUGUGUGGAUGCGUCCAUUGUAAUUGGGAAAUGGUGGUGUGAGAUGGAACCAUGUCUGGAGGGAGAAGAGUGUAAGACUCUGCCUGACAACUCUGGAUGGAUGUGCUCCUCUGGGAACAAAAUCAAGACUACAAGAAACACCCAGCCAUACUCCCCUUUUUAGCUUCCGGAAGCAAAAUGCAGAGGAUGGGUCAACAGAAAUUGAGCUGCAUUCUUGCUUCUGUAAAGAUUCAUCCCAGGACCUAACAGCGAGCUCCCAUUGCAGGGCUGCGUGCCAGGCUCUUCCCUUCAUCUACCCUUUCUCUUCCCACCGAACGGACUAAAACUAUUACAUCCGCGGCUACUGACUGGAUUACCUGGGACCACAGAAAGGAUAUCCACCCAGAUAAAACAGCUUUGCUCGGGUGGUGCCAAGGAUUUGAAACCAGACUAAUCCCCUGUUUGAUCAAUGAGCCCCAUGUUGGUGACUCUCCUCUUCCACACAGCUGUGGCCAGUUUCCGACCUACUCUCUCUCUGUUACCCUCACUCUGUCUCCCCCUCGAAAACUGAAACAGCUUAGCAGGGGUUAUUUAGAGGUUGUUAAAACAUUAUUUGAAGAUGUUCGCCCCUGGCUGAAGGUAAACCGGUUUAGAUACUUACAUGGACCUGAACAUUGGAUCAGCAGAACUGAGGGCAAAAGGAGGGAAAUUACCUUGAUAUCCUUUUAUUUCUGUGUGGAAGUAUUUGACUCGCUACCCCAGCAGGACGCUGUGACAACACUGAAGAGGUUUGGUUGCUGGAUUUUGAGUAACGGGAGACUACGAGCAGCCUAUAAUGAGUUAAUGAAGAAUCUUUGAGAGGCUUAGGGUCCUCAUGGCCUCACCUUCAUCCUUCACGAUGGACCUUUUGACUUUUAUUCGUGGGCAUGCCCGAUGUAAAUUCAUGAGCACUUCUUUUUCUUUGUAUGUAAGAUAAUUUGUGUAUAUAUACAUAUAUAAAUACAUCACAUAUAAGAUGACAGAUCCAAGAAGCUGAAAAAUAUAUUUAAGACUCUAUUAGGAGCCCCAUGGUGGAGUAUUGAUCAGCCACUGAAUAUAAGAAACAUGUUGUCCCAAUACGGUGUGUAUAGGACUGCUUUGCAGUAUAUGCUUGCUUUGGAAAAAGCCACAACAGAGUCAUAAAAAUAAGUAUCGGUCACUUUUGUCCUUCAGCAAUGUUGUUGGUUCAGCCCGAAAAUGCUUGUAGUUUCUGUAAAGAUGAGGAAAACACUGUAUAGAACUGCCUCACAAAAGAAAGCAGCACUAACAACAACCCCCGAGCUUUCCACUCAGAUACAGUAGGGACAUAGUACAGCGGCGGCAAAACUUGGACCAUUAUCGGACAGUUAGUGUCCAUUUCUGCUGUGGAGAGUGGUCAUGGGCGACUGCUUGACUGUUUGUCGUGUAGAGCUCCCUCUCACACACCACCAGAGAGAUGAUUUAUUCAAAAUGACAGUGAGAAAGUAUUAGUCACAAUGGAGAAACAUACCCCAGUAGAUAUAAGUACAUUACAGGACAGCCUUAUGGGAAAUAAAAAUGGUUUUCUAUACUGAUAUGCUGUCUCCCAUUCCUUCAUAUGGUAACAGAAAUUUUGAAAAAUAUUCCUCUUAUGACAAUUUGAUAUGUUGU